rnacentral:lncRNA from 1 species
UUUUUUUCAAAAAAACGCACUUUCAAACCCCGUUAUUACGAGCGAGAGAUAAUAACAAAUCAACUUGUCUUUUAGAAAGAAGCUAAGGUUUCGGUGUAACGAUGAAAUCUUGAGUACCCAUCAUGGAAGUGAAAGGGGAAGGAAUUGGUGAGCGUAAAGAUCUCCUUAAAACUCUUGGCACGAGCUUUAUAUGUUAUCAUCUUAAAGGGGGUUACCAGCACCAGGAACGUAUCUUCUUCUUCUUCACCUCUGACCACAUCAAUGACUUGUAAUUCGUACUGAUCGAAAAAAAUGUUGAUUUCUGGGAAAGCACCCGGAAGCUCAUCAAGCUCAAGUUGAUACCUGAUAAACCACCCAGAAUGAUCGCUCAACAUCUCAUACACAUUUAGGCGCAAACUAUCACGUUUGGAUACUAUUAAAUGCAGAUGACCUCUAGAUUCCCCAAAGUACAUUUCCCCGAAUCUUGUUUCUGAAGGAUUCAUCUGCGCAGGUAAGGGCAACGUUUGCAACUGUUCAACAUCAAGUUUAAAGUACAAGGGACUGAAUGU